rnacentral:rRNA from 1 species
GUGUCAGCAGCCGCGGUAACACGUAGGCACCAAGCGUUGUCCGGAUUUAUUGGGCGUAAAGAGCUCGUAGGCGGUUCAGUAAGUCGGGUGUGAAAACUUUGGGCUUAACCCAAAGCGUGCAUCCGAUACUGCUGUGACUUGAGUACGGUAGGGGAGCGGGGAAUUCCUAGUGUAGCGGUGAAAUGCGCAGAUAUUAGGAGGAACACCGGUGGCGAAGGCGCCGCUCUGGGCCGAAACUGACGCUGAGGAGCGAAAGCAUGGGUAGCAAACAGGAUUAGAAACCCCCGUAGUCC